UCUGAAAAAAAUUAUGGAGUAAAAAAACUUGAUGAGAGCUAUGUUGCCCUAGAGAAUAAGUUCCAAUCACAAUUUGAAAUAGUACCUGAAUCUACCUACAGAAAGAUUAAUCAAGAUCAUUGUUCCAUGAUAGCUAAAGUGAAGAAAUUAUAUAACGCUGAAAGUGACAAAUCAAUAAAAAAGAAGCUGCUUUCAAUUUUACCCGACAGUUGGGAAGUCAGUCGUAUAACAUCUGAAUUUAACUGUUCUUGAAAAAUGGUACUGAACCUUAAAAAUGAUAUCAGUGAAUCUGAGAAUGUUGAUUUAGACUCUGGUGAAAUGACUACUAAUACUUUGAAUCCCACAAAAGUUCCAGGCAAUCAGCCGCUUAAAUUAGAUGUAAAAAAACUUGUCAUUGAUUUUUAUGAAAGCGAAGAAAACUCAAAACAAUUAGCGGUCAUGAAAGAUUUUAAAUCUGUGAAGGAUUGUGAUGGAAAUCGAACUAGGGUACAAAAAAAGUUGAUUCUUUGUAAUUUAAAAGAAUUGUACCAAAGCUUCAAAGCGCAAUAUAAUUCAGUGGAAAUCGGAUUUUCUAAAUUCGCUAGUUUGAGGCCUACUUAUUGUAUUCUUGCUGGAAGUAGUGGUACACAUGUCGUAUGUGUUUGUACUAUUCAUCAAAAUGUAAAAUUGAUGUUAGAAGGUACUUGUGUAUUUGACAUUCUCUAUAAUUGUACUAAAACUAGUUAUUAAUCUUAUUACAUUUAUUCCAUUUAGAAUGUAAUUUUCCAAAAUUUGCGAAAAACACCGAUUGGGUUGUAGAAUCUCAGCCAAUUUACAAAAAUUUAUUAAAUAAAUUAGUUUGUAACAAUCCAAAAGAAUCGUGCUUUUCCAGAAUGUGCAAUAGUUGUCCAAAUAAUGAAGAAGUCGCUGAUUAUUUUCGUGUGUCGUUUAAUGAAUCUGAUGUUAAUGAAAUCCAAUAUAAAACGUGAACAUCAAUAGACCGUUGUACUACUGUGAAUGUUACUUCAGAUUCCGAAGACUUCAUCGAGACUUUAGUGACGCAACUUGAUAAGCUUUUGAAACAUGAUUUUAUUGCGAAAACACAAAGUCGAUUUUUUUCUGAUACAAAACUAAAUUCAAAGAGCGGGGAAUUUGCCGUAGUAUUUGACUUUGCGGAAAAUUAUGCAUUCGUUGUGCAGGAAGCAGCUCAAGGCUUUCAUUGGAAUAAUGAUCAAGCUACUAUAUUUCCAAUGGUGAUUUUUUAUAACGAAAAUGAUACAAUUAAGCAUUUGAGCUUUGUUGGUAUUUCAGAUUGUCUUAAGCACGACACAGUUUUAAUUUAUUUAUUUCAAGAGCAAUUGAUUGCCUUCCUUAAAAAGAAGUUUGCUGUCAUCAAUACGAUUUUUUACUUCUCUGAUGGAGCUCUACAACAAUUCAAAAACAAGAAAGCAUUUACAAACUUAUGUUAUCAUUAUGCUGACUUCGAAAUCAACGCUGAGUGGCAUUUUUUUGCAACUGCCCAUGGCAAAGGACCAUGCGAUGGUCUUGCGGGUUCAUUAAAACGAUAUGCUGCUAGAGCUUCAUUACAAAUGAAUAAUGAAGAGCAUAUACUGAAACCACAAGAUUUGUUUUCCUGGGGAACGAAAAAUUUUACAAGCGUUGACUUUACUUCUAUAGCUAAUGACGAUUUUUUAAUAAAAAAAAAUGUGUUAGACGUACGAUAUUCUCAAUCGAAAACGGUGUAAGGUACACAGUCAUUACACACUUUUGUGCCUUUAAAAGAUGAAAUUGGUUAUGCUUUCAUUAAAACUGUGUCCACAUCUCAAAAAAGUUCAAAAAUAAAAGUAUUUUAAUUAUAAUGAA